rnacentral:rRNA from 1 species
UUUCCCAAUUAUACCACCUUGAAUGUGUCUAAUCUUAUCUGAUCUCAGAAGCUGAGCAAAGCUGGUUUGCAUAGUAGUUGGAUGGGAAACCAACACAUUGCUCUAUAAACUGAUAACA